UAUCACUUAACUGCACAUUAUUUGACACCCGCCUUACAAAAAAUUUUCUCCAUGGCAUGUUGACAGAGUCAACAUGAAUAUAACUACUUCAGAGAAAUGACUUGGGUUGAGGAGGAAGCACUUUCCAUACAGAGGGAUCCUUCUCCAACCCAUGGAAAUCGGAGACACAUUCAAGGAAGAAACCUCUGACUAUUCCAUCUGGAAAUUGUAACUGGGGAUUCUUGCGAAGCUAGAGAUACCGGUACAAUGCAAAAAAUUAUGGAAGUAAUAAUAGAAUAUUUCCCUAAGCAUGCUUAUGUUUAGGACUCUCUUCUUAGGGUCCUGUCCCAUUCUCCUGUAUGUACCCCACAAGCUAUUAUCAGCAGGAAUAGGUCAGACCACGCUGUGGUGCAAUUUUCACGAUCACCACCAGAGGGCGGGGCUUCCUUCAGAUGCGGUUCCCCAUUGUAUUCAGGAGCUGGUUUCACUUGCCUGCUUUGUAGCCACAAGAAAGAGUAUUGCUGAAGUACAGAAAGGGGCUCUCAGUUUCUGAGCGAGCAGCUUCUGUAACAUUCAGAUGGAGACUAAAUUUAUUAGAUUUGUGUAUUCCCGGAAACAAGGAUCGUUUUCUUUUGCGAACAUGCAUUCUGCCACUCACUCAGUUCUUCUGAUCAUCUUAAUAUUCAGAGGGACCAAUGGUGACUCAGUGAACCAGAAAGAGGGCCCAGUGACUGUCUCAGAGGGGGCUCUCCUGACCCUGAACUGCACUUACCAGAACACGCAUUCAGAUCCUUAUGUUUUCUGGUACGUCCAGCAUCUCAACAAAACUCCUCAACUCCUCCUGAAGGGCUGGAUGAAAGACCAGAGUCCAGUACGUGAAGGUUUUCAGGCCACUCUUGUUAAGCGUGACAGCUCCUUCCACCUGCAGAAACGGGCAGUGCAAGCAUCAGACUCGGCUGUGUACUACUGUGCUCUGAGUGACACAGUGAGAGAGGGCUGCGGGGGAGCUGAGCACAAACCCCGAGUGCAGAUGGGGCUCUGGCUGUGGGCAGCCCUGCAGGGGGGUUGUUGUUUCUGUCUUAGGUGUUUUAUGCUAGCUGUGUUGUUGUUUAUGUACUAAGUCAUG